GGAUUAGAUACCCUGGUAGUCCACGCCCUAAACGAUGCAUGCUUGGUGUUAUUAGCAAUAGCUUGUAGUGCCGGAGGAAAUCCGUUAAGCAUGCCACCUGGGGAGUACGAUCGCAAGGUUGAAACUCAAAGGAAUUGACGGGGGCCCGCACAAGCGGUGGAUUAUGUGGUUUAAUUCGAUGCAACGCGAAGAACCUUACCCGGGCUUGAAGUGCAGUGGAAUGUCCUUGAAAGAGGGCAGUUCUUCGGAACCGCUGUAGAGGUGCUGCAUGGCUGUCGUCAGCUCGUGCCG
rnacentral:rRNA from 1 species